rnacentral:lncRNA from 1 species
UUCCUCUCUGGUUCCUUCCUCACAGGAACCCCCCUCCCCAGUGCACACACAGCUGCUGUGGGGCACUGCUUUUGCCUCCUCUUGUGUGGUAACCAUUUGGAACUGCUUUUAAUGGUGCUGUCGACAGUACUGAGGUUUCCAAAUGGUAAGAAUAAUUUCCAGAUAGUAACACAGUCAAGCAUAAGGAGACACACAAGAAUUGGCCUAGGUGUCUGCAAAGAGGGAGAGAGCACCAAAGGUUCUGAUGGGGGAAACACAAACUAAAUAUGAAUCAUAAAAGCUAUGCUUACCAGCCCAGGGCUAAGAACUUUGUGUGCAUCAUCUGAGUUAAUCCUUUCAGCAACCUAGAGAGGUGGGGGUUAUUAAGCCCUUUUUAUAGACGAGAAAAUGAAAGCACAAAAAGGCAGAGUAACCAGCCAAGUUCACAGAGCUGGGAUGUGGAGCUCCCUAAACUGGCCUCCCUGACUCCACUGCCCACUUCAUCUCCCAGUGUGAACCCUUGUUCCUCAGAGUGAGUGGGAGAGUUUGGGGUUGAUUGCUUGAGCGUGGUGUGGAAUGGCACAGUGAAUCUUAAGAGAAGCAAGCAAGCUGGGUUAGGUAAACUUAGCCCAGUGCCUGGCACUUGCUAGGCAUUCCAUAGAUAUUUGAGAUUUGGACUUUUGAACAGAGUUUCAGACAUAGGGUCAGAGUGUGUGGGGGUCUCAAGCAGGUCAGGAACCACAGUCAAGCCUCUACAUACACUUGAAUUUUCCCCAUGGCAGGAACCCACAUUGAAGGUUCACAGGUGUGUCCUAGCGCCGUCCUGGGGCUGUGGAGCAGCUGCCUCUCCAGUGCCCGGGGUUUGCCAUAAAUGCCGAAUCUCAGCCCCACCCUAAGGCACUGACUCAGAACCCACAUUUUAACAAGCCUCCCAGUGACCUGUGUGAGAGGCACUGCUCCAACUCAACAACCCUCCUGCAAGGGAGCAAGCCAGCAGUCAUCCUUCUACCCAGUACAGGGGAAAUUUCUUUUUCCUGUACUAGGCUUAGGGAAUAGCACUUUGGGGGGCUAACCCCUGGUGCUGCCCUAACCUCUUCCUCACAAAACCUUUCAUACAGCUGUGAGAGGCAAACUUCUCAGUUGUCAGCAUUUCCAGGAAGAAAGAACCCCUUGAGUGAUCUCCAUGUGACCUCGUCUGUCUCAGGUUCAUGAACAUGAAGGUGAGAGCAGCUCUUCCUCACAGCAUGACCAGGCAGUGACAAACACGCCACAUGGAAGGAAAUGAGUGAACAAUCCUCGCAUAUUCUGAAAUGAGGAGAUUGAGGUGCAAAGAGAGGCUAAGUUGCCCAAGGUUGCAUGUCUAAAAAGUAUCAGAGGAUGAGAAUACAGAUCUGACCAGGAUUCUAAAGCCCACGUCAUUCCCUCCACACCUGGUAGCUUCAGCCUUGCCCAGCUCCUGGUGGAACUUCCGCUCCGGGAUCCUGAAAUGCCCUGCAUGAAUCAUCAAGGGACAAAAAGAGGAGACUUUCCAGGGACUGACGCCCUCCCAGCCACCGUGGGAUCCCGGCUACUGUGACUGAGCCCAGUCAUGACUCCAGAGUGCUUCACAUCACAUCAUUCUUUCUCAGCAUCCAAAAUAUGAAGGAACUGAACCUCAGAGAGAAGAGAUAACCCUGGUCGGCCAGUAAACUGUAGAGAUCCAAUUUGAAUUCUCCCCUCUGUCUGGCUCCGACACAUGGGGUUUUCUUAACUCACACUGUGUCACCUGCAGAGUGUUUCCCUUCGGGGGAGAGAAACCCAAAAUAGUGAAAACGAACAGAAAAAGUUUGAAGAGUUCUGCUUCGGCACUUGAAGCCAAUCUCCCUACAGUCUUCUUCCUGUUCAUGCUUCCAAGAUGCUAUCAGGGAGGCUGGGCGCUGGGGACAUUUACACUCCUUGCCUCCCCAACCCCAACCUCGAGGAUUUCUGUAGGGGUGAAAUCACCUCAUUAAAGCUGUACCUUGUUGCGGGGGCGGGGGUGGAUGGGCAGAAGAACUCAUGAGGUGAUCAUAUACCGGCCUCAGUGAUUCUCUCCUCCUCCCGGCCCCAUGUCUUGUUUUUAAACUCCAG